rnacentral:rRNA from 1 species
UACGUAGGGUGCAAGCGUUGUCCGGAGUUACUGGGCGUAAAGCGCACGCAGGCGGUCUGUGAAGUUUGGAGUGACAGUUGGUGGCUCAACCACCAAAGUGCUUUGAAAACUGAUAGACUUGAGGGCUUCAGAGGGACACGGAAUUCCGGGUGGAGUGGUGAAAUGCGUAGAGAUCCGGAGGAACACCAAAGGCGAAGGCAGUGUCCUGGGGAGUACCUGACGCUCAGGUGCGAAAGCCAGGGGAGCGAACGGG